rnacentral:rRNA from 1 species
AACGAACGCUGGCGGCAGGCUUAACACAUGCAAGUCGAGCGCAUCCUUCGGGGUGAGCGGCAGACGGGUGAGUAACGCGUGGGAAUGUACCCUUUGCUACGGAAUAGCUCCGGGAAACUGGAAUUAAUACCGUAUGAGCCCUUCGGGGGAAAGAUUUAUCGGCAAAGGAUCAGCCCGCGUUGGAUUAGCUAGUUGGUGGGGUAAAGGCCUACCAAGGCGACGAUCCAUAGCUGGUCUGAGAGGAUGAUCAGCCACAUUGGGACUGAGACACGGCCCAAACUCCUACGGGAGGCAGCAGUGGGGAAUAUUGGACAAUGGGCGCAAGCCUGAUCCAGCCAUGCCGCGUGAGUGAUGAAGGCCCUAGGGUUGUAAAGCUCUUUCACCGGAGAAGAUAAAGACGGUAUCCGGAGAAGAAGCCCCGGCUAACUUCGUGCCAGCAGCCGCCGUAA